CCUACGGGAGGCUGCAGUGGGGAAUAUUGGACAAUGGGGGGAACCCUGAUCCAGCGACGCCGCGUGAGUGAAGAAGUAUUUCGGUAUGUAAAGCUCUAUCAGCAGGGAAGAAAGAAAUGACGGUACCUGACUAAGAAGCCCCGGCUAACUACGUGCCAGCAGCCGCGGUAAUACGUAGGGGGCAAGCGUUAUCCGGAUUUACUGGGUGUAAAGGGAGCGUAGACGGCGAUGCAAGUCUGAAGUGAAAGGCGGGGGCACAACCCCCGGACUGCUUUGGAAACUGUAUGGCUGGAGUGCAGGAGAGGUAAGUGGAAUUCCUAGUGUAGCGGUGAAAUGCGUAGAUAUUAGGAGGAACACCAGUGGCGAAGGCGGCUUACUGGACUGUAACUGACGUUGAGGCUCGAAAGCGUGGGGAGCAAACAGGAUUAGAUACCCUAGUAGUC
rnacentral:rRNA from 1 species